GUCCGCUCCAUAUCUAGAGAACCAUUAUGAUUUCAUACUUUAUACUUUACAUGUUUAUUAACCACCACCAGAGGGCGUGUCAUGAUGUAUGUACAACUUCCUAGGUCAAAGGUCAAGGUAAAAAAACUUUGGUUUCAGUUGACAACCCUGUGUCCUGUGGUGAAGAUCGUGUCCGCUCUAUAUCUUGAGAACCGCUAUGAUUUCAAAGUUU
rnacentral:lncRNA from 1 species